rnacentral:rRNA from 1 species
GACGAACGCUGGCGGCGUGCUUAACACAUGCAAGUCGAACGGAAAGGCCCUGCUUUUGUGGGGUGCUCGAGUGGCGAACGGGUGAGUAACACGUGAGUAACCUGCCCUUGACUUUGGGAUAACUUCAGGAAACUGGGGCUAAUACCGGAUAGGAGCUCCUGCUGCAUGGUGGGGGUUGGAAAGUUUCGGCGGUUGGGGAUGGACUCGCGGCUUAUCAGCUUGUUGGUGGGGUAGUGGCUUACCAAGGCUUUGACGGGUAGCCGGCCUGAGAGGGUGACCGGCCACAUUGGGACUGAGAUACGGCCCAGCCUCAUACGGGAGGCAGCAGUGGGGAAUAUUGCACAAUGGGCGGAAGCAUGAUGCAGCAACGCCGCGUGCGGGAUGACGGCCUUCGGGUUGUAAACCGCUUUCGCCUGUGACGAAGCGUGAGUGACGGUAAUGGGUAAAGAAGCACCGGCUAACUACGUG